rnacentral:rRNA from 1 species
CGGGGUUUUUUGGUAGUAAUACUGAAAAAUCUAGUGGCAAACGGGUGAGUAACACGUGAGUAACCUGCCUUCAAGAUUGGGACAACCUGCCGAAAGGUGGGCUAAUACUGGAUAAUGUUAUCGUAACGCAUGUUGUGAUAAUUAAAGAUGGCCUCUGCUUGCAAGCUAUUACUUGAAGAGGGGCUCGCGGCCUAUUAGUUAGUUGGUGGGGUAACGGCCUACCAAGGCAAUGAUGGGUAUCCGGCCUGAGAGGGUGAACGGACACACUGGGACUGAGACACGGCCCAGACUCCUACGGGAGGCAGCAGUGAGGAAUUUUCCGCAAUGGGCGAAAGCCUGACGGAGCAACGCCGCGUGAAGGACGAAGGUCUUCGGAUUGUAAACUUCUGUCGUGAGGGACGAAACCCCUUAAUGCUAAUAUCAUUAAGGAUUGACGGUACCUCAGGAGGAAGCCACGGCUAACUCUGUGCCAGCAGCCGCGGUAAUACAGAGGUGGCAAGCGUUGUUCGGAUUUACUGGGCGUAAAGGGUGCGCAGGCUGUUUUUUAAGUCAAUCGUUUAAUCCCAAGGCUCAACCUUGGUUCAGCGAUUGAUACUGGAAGACUUGAGUGCAGGAGAGGUGAGUGGAAUUCCAAGUGUAGCGGUGAAAUGCGUAGAUAUUUGGAAGAACACCAGUGGCGAAGGCGGCUCACUGGCCUGAAACUGACGCUGAGGCACGAAAGCUAGGGUAGCGAACGGGAUUAGAUACCCCGGUAGUCCUAGCCGUAAACGUUGAGUACUAGGUGUAGAGGGUAUCGACCCCCUCUGUGCCGAAGUUAACACAUUAAGUACUCCGCCUGGGGAGUAUGACCGCAAGGUUGAAACUCAAAGGAAUUGACGGGGGCCCGCACA